rnacentral:rRNA from 1 species
AUUGAACGCUGGCGGAAUGCUUUACACAUGCAAGUCGAACGGCAGCACGGACUUCGGUCUGGUGGCGAGUGGCGAACGGGUGAGUAAUACAUCGGAACGUGCCCAAUCGUGGGGGAUAACGUAGCGAAAGCUACGCUAAUACCGCAUACGAUCUAAGGAUGAAAGCGGGGGAUCGCAAGACCUCGCGCGAUUGGAGCGGCCGAUGGCAGAUUAGGUAGUUGGUGGGGUAAAGGCCUACCAAGCCGACGAUCUGUAGCUGGUCUGAGAGGAUGAUCAGCCACACUGGGACUGAGACACGGCCCAGACUCCUACGGGAGGCAGCAGUGGGGAAUUUUGGACAAUGGGCGCAAGCCUGAUCCAGCCAUGCCGCGUGUCUGAAGAAGGCCUUCGGGUUGUAAAGGACUUUUGUCCGGGAGCAAAUACCCAGUGCUAAUAACGCUGGGGGCUGAGAGUACCGGAAGAAUAAGCACCGGCUAACUACGUGCCAGCCGCCGCAGUAA